rnacentral:lncRNA from 1 species
GGGAUAAUUCCAUCCAAUGAAGGUUGAGGGGGGGCCCGCACUCCAAGGUCAGGGUCAGUGAUUGGGCCCCCGGGGUUAGUCACACCCCCACACGGACGGGUUCUCUCAUCAGGAGAGGGCCGGGAAAAUUCCAACACAGCCAGAAGCCUCAGACCCAAACUGGGAGUCACCCAGUCACUCGUGAGAAUGGCUCCCCACAGUCUGUCAUAAAUUAACUUCUUCCUAUGCAACUAAGAUGCUACUGCUUAUGUUACUAUCCUUGGGGAAAUUGAGAAAAUAGUCACAUAAAUCAUUUAUAAGGCCUAAUUCACUAUGGAACCCAAGAAUGUGGGGAUGGAGCAACCUGUGUGUGGUGCAUGACUAAAAUCUCAGCAAAUCAGGAAGCUGAGAUAGGAGGAUUGCAAAUUUGAGGCUAGCCUCAGCAAUUUAGUGAAACUUCCAGCAACUUAGCAAGACCCUGUCUCAAAAUAAAAAGAUAAAAAGGUCUGAGGAUGUAGCUCAGUGGUAGAGUGCCCCUUGGUUCAAUCCUUAGUACCAAGGGUGGGGGGGAAUGUAGGGGUAAAGGCCAAAGUCCAGAGCCAGUCAGCCAGGUACACAAUGGCAAAAAUGCCUCCAUCUGGCUGAGGCAGAGUGUAGGUCAGGAAGAAGUGAAAUACCCUCAGUUAUAAUGCCCUAAGUGUCCAUCAGUGAGACCUCUGGCCUCUGCUAUUUGCUGAAUCACUUAAAGAGGCCUCCCUUAAAGUUCAUACAUCCCAAACCUUCCUGGUAAAGGAAAAAUCUUCACAUCGAACAAGACCUUCAGUUAAUCCUUCUGCAUUUAAGAAAUACUGCCCUGGAAUCCUUAACUUUCUCAUUUAUGCAUUUGAUGUUUAUGGAGUUCCUUUUGAGCUGAGUUCUCCUACGUGCCCGGGAAGGAAUGUAACUUUUUCACUAACUUAUUAUUUGUCCAAAAUAUUAAUCAGCUGCUUAUACACACAGUUUUAGGGUUCAAGAGAGGGGAACAAACAUCAAAUAUUUUCCUUAUACUACAUGAAGAAUUCUUGUAUCUGAAAUCUGUACUUUCUGGCUUUGCUUUCAUUUUGGUAGAGAAAAAGUAGUUUUACUGGGGUUUUGUUUAUUUAGUUUUUGUUUUUCUUUAUGAACUGUAACAGUUUUCAAGAUCAUAAUUUGGAGACAGAAAAUUAAGGGAGUUUCCUUAGGAGAAACUAACAAUUUGCUAAAACUUAAAGUGUAGAGUCCCCUACUCAGGUUGCUUUUGGGGAUAAAGAACAUUGUUACUAACAGCUCUUUCUCCUCUAAUCUUUGUUGCUACUUGCCUGGGAGAUGAAGCUACUGACUGGCUUUUCCACCCCCAUAGACUUUGAAUCCUGC